rnacentral:rRNA from 1 species
AUGAUGGAACAUAGUCUAACACAGAUUCCCAGAAAGUUUAUGACAAAGCACUUGAAGAGGUUAAAAUCAAAGAAACUGAAGGUCCACUUUCAAGUGAGCAGAAAAACAAUAUUUUCCAGACCGCUUACAAAGACACUUUGGAAUGCAAGUCAUCGCAGCCUCGUGGGUACGGAUACAUGGCCAAAACUUCAACUGGUUCUGAAAGGUUUCAUGUCCAGAUCGAAGAGCAAGCUCGUGCUACAGCAGCCACCCAGGAGCGAAACUCUCAUCUCAGCCAGCAGGCCAACGAAUUAA